UGCGAGAGUAACAUUAGAAGACGUAUAAUAAGAAUUACCCUUAUUAUUAAACAUUUUCUAAACUCCUAUUGUUUCACCCAUAUUUCACCAGCAUAGAAGAAUAAUUAUUAUACCACUGCCACAAUUCACAAAAUCCUUUCACCUCCGUUUUUUCAUGUGCCUGUCCUAACAAUCAUGAGAUAAGCAAGCUUCAUGAUAAUAACUACAACUUCUACAACCCCAACCCCACUGUCAAUGAAAUACCCACUAAGAAUCAGGCACUAUACCAGGUAUCUCACAUAUUUACCACAUUCAAAGUUGAAUAAUUACCAAAAAUCUAUGAAGUAGUUAUCCCAUCCCAAUUUUACAGAUGAGGAAACUGCGGCUCAGCAAUUAAAGUAAUUGGCCCAGAAAGCGGAUCUUUGAUCCACACCCAGGUCUGUCUGAAUCCUAAACCUAUGCCAUUUCCUUGUCCCACCCACACUCCCCAGGAAACAGAGAUUGAGAAAAAGAUAAUCAUUUGGCCAAGUCUUAUAGGCAACAGGAACCCAGAGCCUUCUAACACUUGAUCUACGGUGCUUUCCACCUGGUAUGUUGCUUCUAUAAAAAGUAAGGACACUUCCUUCCAUCGGGAGUUUAUAAAUCAUAAUUAAUCUCAUUAGAUUAUAAAUAACAUCAUAGGGAAGCUAUGUGCUACAUAGGGACAGAUAAGGGUGCCCAAGGGAAACUUUGAGGAAGUAUAACUAAAUUAAUACACAGGGAUCAGGGUUGAAGUAUUUUAUAACCAAUACUCAAAACAGUAACAGUUAGCCUGGCGCAGUGGCUCACGUCUGUAAUCCUAACACUUUGGGAGUCAGAGAUGGG
rnacentral:lncRNA from 1 species